rnacentral:rRNA from 1 species
UAGUCCACGCCGUAAACGAUGGUUACUAGUUGUUGGGAUUUAUCUCAGUGACUAAGCGAAAGUGAUAAGUAACCCACCUGGGGAGUACGUUCGCAAGAAUGAAACUCAAAGGAAUUGACGGGGGCCCGCACAAGCGGUGGAGCAUGUGGUUUAAUUCGAUGAUACGCGAGGAACCUUACCAGGGCUUAAAUGUAAGUUGCAUUAGUUAGAGAUAGCUAUUUCUUCGGACUACUUACAAGGUGCUGCAUGGUUGUCGUCAGCUCGUGCCGUGAGGUGUCAGGUUAAGUCCUAUAACGAGCGCAACCCCUAUCAUUAGUUGCUAACAGGUUAAGCUGAGGACUCUAAUGAGACUGCCGGUGCAAACCGAGAGGAAGGUGGGGAUGACGUCAAAUCAUCACGGGCCCUUACGUCCUGGGGCUACACACGUGCUACAAUGGGCGGUGACAGAGGGGCAGCUAACCCGCGAGGGCCAGCUAAUCCCUAAAAGCCGUCUCAGUUCGGAUUGCAC